rnacentral:rRNA from 1 species
GACUAAGCGUACACGGUGGAUGCCCUGGCAGUCAGAGGCGAUGAAGGACGUGCUAAUCUGCGAAAAGCGUCGGUAAGGUGAUAUGAACCGUUAUAACCGGCGAUGUCCGAAUGGGGAAACCCAGUGCAAUUCGUUGCACUAUCGUUAACUGAAUACAUAGGUUAACGAGGCGAACCGGGGGAACUGAAACAUCUAAGUACCCCGAGGAAAAGAAAUCAACCGAGAUUCCCCCAGUAGCGGCGAGCGAACGGGGAGCAGCCCAGAGUCUGAAUCAGCUUGUGUGUUAGUGGAACGGUCUGGAAAGUCCGACGGUACAGGGUGAUAGUCCCGUACACCAAAAUGCACAGGUUGUGAACUCGAAGAGUAGGGCGGGACACGUGGUAUCCUGUCUGAAUAUGGGGGGACCAUCCUCCAAGGCUAAAUACUCCUGACUGACCGAUAGUGAACCAGUACCGUGAGGGAAAGGCGAAAAGAACCCCGGCGAGGGGAGUGAAAAAGAACCUGAAACCGUGUACGUACAAGCAGUGGGAGCACCUUCGGGUGUGACUGCGUACCUUUUGUAUAAUGGGUCAGCGACUUAUAUUCUGUAGCAAGGUUAACCGUAUAGGGGAGCCGCAGGGAAACCGAGUCUUAACUGGGCGUUAAGUUGCAGGGUAUAGACCCGAAACCCGGUGAUCUAGCCAUGGGCAGGUUGAAGGUUGGGUAACACUAACUGGAGGACCGAACCGACUAAUGUUGAAAAAUUAGCGGAUGACUUGUGGCUGGGGGUGAAAGGCCAAUCAAACCGGGAGAUAGCUGGUUCUCCCCGAAAGCUAUUUAGGUAGCGCCUCGUGAAUUCAUCUUCGGGGGUAGAGCACUGUUUCGGCUAGGGGGUCAUCCCGACUUACCAACCCGAUGCAAACUACGAAUACCGAAGAAUGUUAUCACGGGAGACACACGGCGGGUGCUAACGUCCGUCGUGAAGAGGGAAACAACCCAGACCGCCAGCUAAGGUCCCAAAGUCAUGGUUAAGUGGGAAACGAUGUGGGAAGGCACAGACAGCCAGGAUGUUGGCUUAGAAGCAGCCAUCAUUUAAAGAAAGCGUAAUAGCUCACUGGUCGAGUCGGCCUGCGCGGAAGAUGUAACGGGGCUAAACCAUGCACCGAAGCUGCGGCAGCGACACUAUGUGUUGUUGGGUAGGGGAGCGUUCUGUAAGCCUGCGAAGGUGUGCUGUGAGGCAUGCUGGAGGUAUCAGAAGUGCGAAUGCUGACAUAAGUAACGAUAAAGCGGGUGAAAAGCCCGCUCGCCGGAAGACCAAGGGUUCCUGUCCAACGUUAAUCGGGGCAGGGUGAGUCGACCCCUAAGGCGAGGCCGAAAGGCGUAGUCGAUGGGAAACAGGUUAAUAUUCCUGUACUUGGUGUUACUGCGAAGGGGGGACGGAGAAGGCUAUGUUAGCCGGGCGACGGUUGUCCCGGUUUAAGCAUGUAGGCUG